rnacentral:rRNA from 1 species
AGCACCGGCUAACUCCGGGCCAGCAGACGCGGUAAUACGGAGGGUGCAUGCGUUAUCUGGAUUUAUUGGGUUUAAAGGGUCCGUAGGCGGAUCUGUAAGUCAGUGGUGAAAUCUCAUAGCUCAACUAUGAAACUGCCAUUGAUACUGCAGGUCUUGAGUGAGAUUGAGGUAGCUGGAAUAAGUAGUGUAGCGGUGAAAUGCAUAGAUAUUACUUAGAACACCAAUUGCGAAGGCAGGUUACCAAGUCUUAACUGACGCUGAUGGACGAAAGCGUGGGGAGCGAACAGGAUUAGAUACCCUGGUAGUCCACGCCGUAAACGAUGCUAACUCGUUUUUGGGGCCUUGCGCUUCAGAGACUAAGCGAAAGUGAUAAGUUAGCCACCUGGGGAGUACGUUUGCAAGAAUGAAACUCAAAGGAAUUGACGGGGGCCCGCACAAGCGGUGGAGCAUGUGGUUUAAUUCGAUGAUACGCGAGGAACCUUACCAAGACUUAAAUGGGAAAUGACAGGUUUAGAAAUAGAUCCUUCUUCGGACAUUUUUCAAGGUGCUGCAUGGUAGUCGUCAGCUCGUGCCGUGAGGUGUUAGGUUAAGUCCUGCAACGAGCGCAACCCCUGUCACUAGUUGCUAACAUUCAGUUGAGGACUCUAGUGAGACGGCCUACGCAAGUAGAGAGGAAGGUGGGGAUGACGUCAAAUCAUCACGGCCCUUACGUCUUGGGCCACACACCUGCUACAAUGGCCAGUACAGAGGGCAGCUACCAGGUGACUGGAUGUGAAUCUCGAAAGCUGGUUUCAGUUCGGAUUGGAGUCUGCAACUCGACUCUAUGAAGCUGGAAUCGCUAGUAAUCGCGCAUCAGCCAUGGCGCGGGGAAUACGUUCCCGGGCCUUGUACACACCGCCCGUCAAGCCAUGGAAGUCUGGGGUACCUGAAGUCGGUGACCGUAAAAGGAGCUGCCUA